AUGGCGACGGCGAUGGACACGACGGUGCCGAGGAGCGGGGUGGGGGAAGGCGGCGGCGGCGGUGGGCUGAAGAAGGGGCCGUGGACGCAGGCGGAGGACCGGGUGCUGCUCGACCACGUGCGGCGGCACGGCGAGGGCAACUGGAACGCGGUGCGCCGGGAGACCGGGCUGCAGCGCUGCGGCAAGAGCUGCCGGCUCCGGUGGGCCAACCACCUCCGCCCCAACCUCCGCAAGGGCCCCUUCUCCCCCGAGGAGGAGCGCCUCAUCCUCCGCCUCCACGGCCUCAUCGGCAACAAGUGGGCGCGCAUCUCAACACACCUGCCGGGGAGGACGGACAACGAGGUCAAGAACUUCUGGAACACGCGCCUCAAGCGCCGGCAGCGCGCCGGGCAGUCGCUCUACCCGCCGGACGUCGAGCGGGAGAUCGCCCUCAUGCGCGCCCAGAACAUCAACCCGUUCGCCGACGCGGACGGCAAUACUGCGGCGUCGCCGUUCUCGGACCCGUUCGCGCUGCCUCCCAGGCCGCCGUCGUCCACCAAACCGCCCUCUCACUCUCACUCCUCGCCGCUGAUCGACCAGCACCACCCGCUCCUCAACCAGAUGCAGGGGAUGCAGAUGCGCCACCACGCCGCACAGCACCAGCACCCGCAGCCGGCGUUCCACCACCACCACCAUCACCACCACGGCGGCAUGAGGGCUGCGGGGCUCCCGCCGUUGCCGGCCACGGCGGCCAGGCCGCGCGAGCUCCCUUCGAACCAAAUCGAGACGGCGAGCUGCAGCGGCGGCGGCGACGGCCUGCUCGAGGCGCUGCUGCUCGGCGUCGACGACCAUCAACUCCCCCGUCCCAACCAUGGCGUGUGCAGGGCCGGCUCCAUGCCCGAUCUCAUGUACGGCGGCGUCUCGAGCGCCAGCGACAGCGACGAUACCUCGCAGUUCCCUCCCGGAGGCCAGGACGCGCACCAUGGCGGGAAAUGGGACUUCCUCAUCGAUGAUGUGAAGCCGCCAAUGAGGAGGGCGACGAGCGCAGCAGAGAACGAGACCUCCGGUAUGUUCGGCGUGGCCCAUGGGUCGAUAUCCGGGGAGUGGUUCGGCACCGGCGUUGGGUCGCCAGGGCCGUCCUCCGUCGUCACCACGGACGAUGAGUUCGGCCUCGAGAUGCAGCAGCUCAUGUCGUCGCUGCCACUGUCGGCCGACGAGCUUAACUGGAACGCUUAA
rnacentral:rRNA from 1 species